rnacentral:misc_RNA from 1 species
GAUGAAGAACGUAGCGAAAUGCGAUAAGUAAUGUGAAUUGCAGAAUUCAGUGAAUCAUCGAAUCUUUGAACGCACAUUGCGCCCGCCAGUAUUCUGGCGGGCAUGCCUGUCCGAGCGUCAUUUCAACCCUCGAACCCCUCCGGGGGGUCGGCGUUGGGGACCUCGGGAGCCCCUAAGACGGGAUCCCGGCCCCGAAAUACAGUGGCGGUCUCGUCGCAGCCUCUCCUGCGCAGUAGUUUGCACAACUCGCACCGGGAGCGCGGCGCGUCCACGUCCGUAAAACACCCAACUUCUGAAAUGUUGACCUCGGAUCAGGUAGGAAUACCCGCUGAACUUAAGCAUAUCAAAUAAGCGGAGGA